AAUAUUGGGCAAUGGAGGAAACUCUGACCCAGCCAUGCCGCGUGAAGGACGAAGGCCCUAUGGGUCGUAAACUUCUUUUAUAAGGGAAGAAAAAGCGUUACGUGUAACGCUCUGACAUUACCUUACGAAUAAGGAUCGGCUAACUCCGUGCCAGCAGCCGCGGUAAUACGGAGGAUCCAAGCGUUGUCCGGAUUUAUUGGGUUUAAAGGGUGCGCAGGCGGACUUUUAAGUCAGUGGUGAAAUCCGACAGCUCAACUGUCGAACUGCUAUUGAAACUGAAAGUCUUGAAUGCGGUCGAGGUAAAUGGAAUGUGUCAUGUAGCGGUGAAAUGCUUAGAUAUGAUACAGAACACCUAUUGCGAAGGCAGUUUACUAGACCGAUAUUGACGCUCAGGCACGAAAGCGUGGGGAGCGAACAGGAUUAGAUACCCUGGUAGUCCACGCCCUA
rnacentral:rRNA from 1 species